AGCUGAUAUAUGGUUGAUCUUUGGAAUCCCUUCUAGCUUUAAAACUGUGAUUCUUUGAUGUGAUUCCCUUUUGGGGAGGGGCAGUUUCCCAAGUCAACUGGAAAUGGUUUGGCCUAUUGCCUAGUUAAUGUCACCUGGAGCUUGGGGUGGGAACAGGGAGUCAUUUAGCUAGCUACUCUAAAUAUGCUAGGAGGAACCUGUCCCCCAACUCCACCUCUGCAGAACCCUUCCUUUCUGACUUCUUUUUUCCAGCCCUCCAAUAUCAUUGUGACUCCUUUUAGGUAAGAUUAUGAGCUUCCAAAUUCCUCUGCCCUUGACUCUCAUUGACCAGUGAUUAUUGCCCAAGCCAGUACUGCACCAGACAGGCUGGCACUCCACUGAUCUCUUCAGGAUGUCUGUGAGCCUGGGCUGAAGGUUAGUCACAAUCCUCAAUGCUCAAGGAGACCCCAGGGGCCCUGCAGCUGCUCCCAGCUGUCUGCCUGAACAAUGCAGAUCCUGUCAGGUCUCCUGUUGAGCCUUCCUUCAUGGGGUAUUCAGAUUGCAGUAUUAAGUGGAGGCAUCUCAGCUGCUUCCUGUUUCUUGGGUCUCAGCAAAGAUUCCUAAACAAAGACAAUCAGCCCAGUUCUGCAUCUGACAAGAGCCCCCAGCAAUGGGGGAUGGGGGGAUGAAAGACUUUCACCAUCAUCUCAGAGCCCAAAGUCAAACUUCUCCAGUAGGAAGGGACCCCAAGGACCAAGGGCUCCAGGUCUCUGCUUCCAGUCAUACCAACCAGGCGUGAGGAUGGGAUUACAGCCCAGUUUUCAGAAAUGUAUUGGAAAGUGCCUGGUGUGGUGGCACACACCUGUAACCCCAAC
rnacentral:lncRNA from 1 species